UUCACUGAUGAAAGCUGCUGCAUAGGAAGUGCCGUCUGAUGCGACAACUGACGAUUUUAAGCGUUUCUGAGA